GACGAACGCUGGCGGCGUGCUUAACACAUGCAAGUCGAGCGGAAAGGCCCUUCGGGGUCCUCGAGCGGCGAACGGGUGAGUAACACGUGAGUAACCUGCCCCAGACUUUGGGAUAACCCUCGGAAACGGGGGCUAAUACCGGAUACGACACAGCUUCGCAUGGGGUCUGUGUGGAAAGUUUUUCGGUUUGGGAUGGGCUCGCGGCCUAUCAGCUUGUUGGUGGGGUGAUGGCCUACCAAGGCGACGACGGGUAGCCGGCCUGAGAGGGCGACCGGCCACACUGGGACUGAGAGACGGCCCAGACUCCUACGGGAGGCAGCAGUGGGGAAUAUUGCACAAUGGGCGGAAGCCUGAUGCAGCGACGCCGCGUGAGGGAUGACGGCCUUCGGGUUGUAAACCUCUUUCAGCAGGGACGAAGCGUAAGUGACGGUACCUGCAGAAGAAGCGCCGGCCAACUACGUG
rnacentral:rRNA from 1 species